rnacentral:rRNA from 1 species
GAUGAACGCUAGCGGCAGGCUUAAUACAUGCAAGUCGAGGGGCAGCAGGACUGUAGCAAUACAGUUGCUGGCGACCGGCAAACGGGUGCGGAACACGUACGCAAUCUACCCGAAACUGGGGCAUAGCCCGGGGAAACCCGGAUUAAUACCCCGUAACACUUUGAAGUGGCAUCACUUUAUAGUUAUAGCUCCGGCGGUUUUGGAUGAGCGUGCGGCUGAUUAGGUAGUUGGCGGGGUAAUGGCCCACCAAGCCUACGAUCAGUAACUGGUGUGAGAGCACGACCGGUCACACGGGCACUGAGACACGGGCCCGACUCCUACGGGAGGCAGCAGUAAGGAAUAUUGGUCAAUGGACGCAAGUCUGAACCAGCCAUGCCGCGUGGAGGAUGAAGGCCCUCUGGGUUGUAAACUUCUUUUAUAGGGGACGAAACCUCUUUUUCUUGAGAGACUGACGGUACCCUAGGAAUAAGCACCGGCUAACUCCGUGCCAGCAGCCGCAGUAAAAC